CCCAAGCUCACUUGGCCAGAGACAGUCAACAGCAAACAUGCUGAGCUGCUUCUCCACUUCGAGAGGUAUCGGCCUCAGGACCCCAGGUAGAGAAAGUAUCUGUAAAAGAUUGAGAAGAUGACUGACUCCAUCCAGAUGCCUCGUGACUGUCACAGACACCCCAGAGAUGGUCUCCCUGGGAGUGAUCACCAGUGACCUACCAAAAUCAAGGUACACACAGAGGGAAACUUUAAUUUUCUGAGACAACAUUGGAAACUAACAAAUGACCCUUCUCUUCCCACUUGCUCUUCAGCCUUCACCUCUGAGAGGAACUCUGAUGUGGAUUAGAGAUUGCAGUUACUCUUCCUCCCACAUUGUCACCUAGUAUCUGUUGGGCAUGCUGUGAGUACAAGAUGCAGGCUGGGAGCUGACUCUCUAAUGAGAAGACCUGGCUGGAAUGAGGACAACUAGAAGAAAGCAGAGCGGAGAGGGUGAGGACCAAAGUGUG
rnacentral:lncRNA from 1 species